rnacentral:lncRNA from 1 species
CUGUCAGGUAGAUGAUUAUAACAGUAGUGCUGGUCUCCAGGCUGUCAGGUAGAUGAUUAUAACAGUAGUGUUGGUCUCCAGGCUGUCAGGUAGAUGAUUAUAACAGUAGUGUUGGUUUCCAGACUGUCAGGUAGAUGAUUAUAACAGUAGUGUUGGUCCUGGUCUCCAGACUGUCAGGUAGAUGAUUAUAACAGUAGUGUUGGUCCUGGUCUCCAGACUGUCAGGUAGAUAGUUAUAACAGUAGUGUUGGUCUCCAGACUGUCAGGAUGAUGAUUAUAACAGUAGUGCUGGUCUCCAGGCUGUCAGGUAGAUGAUUAUAACAGUAGUGUUGGUCUCCAGGCUGUCAGGUAGAUGAUUAUAACAGUAGUGUUGGUCUCCAGACUGUCAGGUAGAUGAUUAUAACAGUAGUGUUGGUCUCCAGACUGUCAGGUAGAUGAUUAUAACAGUAGUGUU